GUGUUCACUUCAGCAGCACAUAUACAAAAUUGGCAAGAUACAGAGAAGAAUAGCAUGACUCCUGUUCAAAGAUGACAUGCGAAUUCGUGUAUAGAUUGCUGUGGUA
ensembl:snRNA U6 U6 spliceosomal RNA